UACGAGUGCCCCCAAGCGUUAUCCGGAAUCACUGGGCGUAAAGGGUGUGUAGGCGGUCCUGUCCCGACCUAGUCGGGAUUCACUAGUCUUCUGUUAAAGCUCGGAGCUUAACUCCGAAAAUGCAGAGGAAACGGCAGGACUAGAAGGUGUGAGAGGUCUGUGGAACUCAUGGUGUAGGGGUGAAAUCCGUUGAUAUCAUGGGGAACGCCAAAAGCGAAGGCAGCAGACUGGCACACACUUGACGCUGAAACACGAAAGCGUGGGUAGCGAACGGGAUUAGAUACCCC
rnacentral:rRNA from 1 species